ensembl:lncRNA
CCCAGUUGGGUGUUACCCUUUAACCUCACCUCUGUUCCCUCAACCAGGUCAGAAGGUUGAAGUUUAUAUUUUAGUAAAACUAUAUUAUAUUACAUUAAUAUACUAUUUAAAGAGAUACUAUACUAUUCUACAUCUUACUUACUUAUCUAAUUUCUAACAAACUUGUGACACUCUGCUGAGUCUGAGACACAGUUGGACCUGAUUGGUCAUUGAACUUAAAUAACUUUCACUAGAAUCUAAUUAAGCAGUCCCUUCAGGUAAACAAUCUCCACACUAAAUUCUACAUGGGGGAAACAGAGGAGCAGAGAUAAAGAUUGUUUUCUUUUCUUCUCUCUGUGCUUUUCCAGAGAGACAGAAUUAUGUCUCUGUCCAGAAAAUAUGAAUGUCACAGGCGGUGGCUUCAGCAGCUCCUGCCCCACUGCCACACCAGUGUCCAGAUGUCCCCCACAGCCUGUCACGGUGACAGAACCAAUCUCUGGGUUGGUGUCCACCUGGGUGAACAUCUACCAGGCUGAACAGCCCGCCUGGCUGAUGGGCAGGACUCCUGGAUUGUGGGGUGCUAGGUGAGGAACCCCAGGGUGGGGGGAGAUUGGUGGGGGGACCCUUGGAUUGGCAGGUUCUGGGUGGUAGGCAUGACAACCCCAAUUUUGGGGGCGUAGGAUAGGGGGAACAUGAGAUUUGGAAGAAUGGGCUGUUUUGGUGAAGGGGGCUCAAGUUUGGAGGGAGUGAUGAUUUCGGGUACCCCGAAGUUUGAAGGUGGUGGUGAAGCACAAGUGUUUGAAGGGGGUACCAAUUUUGGGACACACUCCAGGAUUGGGGUAUUCUCGGCAUGGAUUGAUGUGGGAGGACCCCUGGACUGGGAGGGAUGCAUAGGGGAAGUCCCAGUUUGGGGGGUAAGCCCUAAAUUGGGGGGGAUUGUAGGUGGGGGAGGCCCAACUUUGGGGUCAGGGGAUACCCUUGAAUUGGGGGAAUUUAGUGAGCCCCAAAAUCGGAGCAGGACCAACAGUGGUGAGACUGGACCCCAAAAAUGGGGGGUUGAAUUGAAAAAAUGGAAGAUAGACCAGGAAAAUGGGGGAGGAAACCCCUGGAAAGUGAGGGGUAACCACACAGAUCCAGGCUAUGCAGAGACCCGCUGGUGAGACCCCAAAAUUAAGGGUGUGACAACAAUGGGAGACUCUAAGGUGUAAUGCUGAACCAGUAAACUGGAGAGAUCUGCUGUAAAAUGUGGAGCAGCCUCAAAGAUAAGGGGGAGAACCCAAUCUUUGGGGGUCAAAGUGUUGGAAAACCCUUGUUUUGGGGUUUUUUUUUGGUGGGAGGAUUCCAGUUUUGGGUGGGUGGGGCAUGCCUGGAUUGGAGGGAUUGUGCAGGGAACUGCAAUUUUGGGCAUUUACAGAGGGUUUGCACCCUGGAUUAGAGGGUGAUAGAGGGAGAGAACUUUAAUUUUGUUGGCCAGUGGGUUGGAGAGCUGAAAUUUGGAGUUGUUCUGGGUGCUCAGAUCAUAAUUCUGGGGAUCAGUGUGUGGUGGGGAGCCCCCAUUGCCAGAUUUCGGGAGGUUUCUGGUUUAGGGGACUCCCAAUUUUGUGGUGAUAACUGUUGAUUUGGAGGGUUUAGGUGAGAA